CCCGGCCGCUGCCCCUUCCCCAGAGCCAGAGCCGGGCAGAGCCCUCCGCUGCCGCCGGCUCCCAGCCCCGGGGCCGCGCCGACCUCUCCGCGUUACUUCCCGCCGCCGAAGAGAAGCCCCUCCACAAAGGAGCGAGGCAGCAGGAGGCGGGGGAUACACGCACGCCCGGCCGCUCCGUCCGGAUGCGGUGAGCCCCAGGCUCGCCUCCGGGGCCGCGCCAGCGCGGGAGGGAAGAAGCGGAGCAGCAGCGGCGGCUCUCCGGCUGCCACCAUGGGCUGCUGCUCGGGGCGCUGCACGCUGAUCUUCCUCUGCUCGCUGCAGCUGCUGGCAGCAUUAGAGAGACAAAUCUUUGACUUCCUGGGUUUCCAGUGGGCUCCUAUCCUUGGCAAUUUCCUACAAAUAAUAGUUGUCAUUUUGGGUUUGUUUGGAACCAUCCAGUUUAGGCCUCGAUAUAUAGUCGUGUACACCGUGUGGACUGCCCUGUGGGUCACCUGGAAUGUUUUCAUUAUCUGCUUCUACUUGGAAGUAGGCGGGCUUUCUAAGGAAACGGAUCUCAUGACCUUUAACAUCUCAAUGCACCGCUCUUGGUGGCGGGAGCACGGGCCCGGCUGCAUACGAAGGGUGGUGCGUCCUUCCUCCCCUGGCAUCCUCGAGGAUUACUCCUACGUCUCCGUGACAGGCUGCAUCAUUGAUUUCCAGUACCUAGAGGUCAUUCACAGCGCUAUCCAAAUACUCCUCUCCCUGAUUGGAUUUGUGUACGCCUGUUACGUGAUCAGUAUUUUCAUGGAGGAGGAGGACAGCUGUAAGUACUGAUACACACCUCACCAUCUCUGGAGCCAAGUUGAUUUCAUAGGUGGACUUGACACAUACUCCUACCGACAGCCCCCCCAGGAACAUGUUGAGUUAAAGCCUGUAAAGCCUGUAGGUCGAAGUAAGUAAUGAACAUGGACUCAAGACUUCUGCUGCUGUAGCUGAAGAAACAGAUUUUAGGAAAAAAAAGACCAACCUUGUGAAUCAUCAUUCCGGAAGAAACGCACCACAUCUGUUCCUCACGGCAUGUGGAUUGUUCUUCCCACAGGCUCAGUGUCAUUAUCAACGUUGUUAUUUCGUAGAUCCUUGUAGAUGAUCUUGAAUUUUUAAAUAAUUUACUUAUAUGGACACUUGUAAAUUGUAAAUUUUUUUCUUUUUUAAUUUCAGUAUUUUUACAAUGUUUAGUGUUGAGGCAUGAAAACAAAACAACCUGUAAAAACUAGGAGGAGGGUGCGCAUCUUUCUCAAAAGUUCAGUAUUUUUUGACUGAGAGGAUCAUACUGUGCCUGGUCAAGACUCUGUCAGUAAACAGUAAUUUUGACUCUAGAAUACACAGCAAGAGUCAAACCCCAACAGUGAUCAAGAGAUCAUUUCGAUGCUGUCUUUAGAAUUCACAAUGUCCACUCCUCGCAUUGUUUGAACUGCUAAAUGCAGUAGGGAUUGAUGUAUGACUCUUCUUACCCAGAUGUUCAAGCACUAAUGUACUCACCUGAUUAUUGCAAUUCAUAUAUGACUUCUCCUUUCCUAAUCUCUUUUACUCCAAGUCCAUCUCAAGUAGCUGUCUCUGAUUUGAAGAGAAGUAGGAUGACUGCUCAAUGGAUGUCCAACUCUAGGAACCCUUACACCCAGGGCUGUUUAGAUGUCUGUGAUUUGCACAUUUUUAAACUCCUUUCCUCCCUUCUCCCAGGAACAAGCCAAGCAUGAAUGUACAGUACAAGGCACCAACUGAAGCCUUAGAAGCCUCUGGGGACUAAUUUUUCUCUUAAUUUAAAAGUAAACAAGCAAAACUGAAAAAAUGUGUGUAAAAAUUUGUAAAGUUAUUUGUAAAUACUUCUAGACAAAGAACAUGUAUGUAACUGUGGUAUUUUGUUUUCUAUUCUGUCACCACUAGCAUAAAGUGAUACACAAAGC